rnacentral:rRNA from 1 species
AGUGCAUGUGGUGGAUGCCUUGGCAGUCAGAGGCGAUGAAAGACGUGAUAGCCUGCGAAAAGCUCCGGGGAGGCGGCAAAUAUCCUUUGAUCCGGAGAUGUCUGAAUGGGGGAACCCACCUACUUUAAGGUAGGUAUUGCAACAUGAAUACAUAGUGUUGCAAGGCGAACGAGGGGAAGUGAAACAUCUCAGUACCCUUAGGAAAAGAAAUCAAUUGAGAUUCCCUCAGUAGCGGCGAGCGAACGGGGAUCAGCCCAUUAAGUUAUGUGUGUUUUAGUGGAACGCUCUGGGAAGUGCGAACGUAGAGGGUGAUAUUCCCGUACACGAAAGGGCACACAUAAUGAUGACGAGUAGGGCGAGGCACGUGAAACCUUGUCUGAAUAUGGGGGGACCAUCCUCCAAGGCUAAAUACUCCUGACUGACCGAUAGUGAACCAGUACCGUGAGGGAAAGGCGAAAAGAACCCCUGUGAGGGGAGUGAAAUAGAUCCUGAAACCGCAUGCAUACAAGCAGUGGGAGCACCUUCGUGGUGUGACUGCGUACCUUUUGUAUAAUGGGUCAGCGACUUAUAUUCAGUAGCGAGGUUAACCGUAUAGGGGAGCCGUAGAGAAAUCGAGUCUUAAUAGGGCGUUUAGUUGCUGGGUAUAGACCCGAAACCAGGCGAUCUAUCCAUGAGCAGGUUGAAGGUUGGGUAACACUAACUGGAGGACCGAACCCACUGUCGUUGAAAAGCCAGGGGAUGACUUGUGGAUAGGGGUGAAAGGCUAAUCAAGCCUGGUGAUAGCUGGUUCUCCCCGAAAGCUAUUUAGGUAGCGCCUCGGACGAAUACCAUAGGGGGUAGAGCACUGUUUCGGCUAGGGGGUCAUCCCGACUUACCAAACCGAUGCAAACUCCGAAUACCUAUGAGUACUAUCCGGGAGACAGACUGCGGGUGCUAACGUCCGUAGUCAAGAGGAAAACAAUCCAGACCGCCAGCUAAGGCCCCAAAAUCAUAGUUAAGUGGGAAACGAUGUGGGAAGGCAUAGACAGCUAGGAGGUUGGCUUAGAAGCAGCCACCCUUUAAAGAAAGCGUAAUAGCUCACUAGUCGAGUCGGCCUGCGCGGAAGAUGUAACGGGGCUAAAACUAUGUGCCGAAGCUGCGGAUGUAUACUUUGUAUACGUGGUAGGGGAGCGUUCUGUAAGCCGAUGAAGGUGUGUUGAGAAGCAUGCUGGAGGUAUCAGAAGUGCGAAUGCUGACGUGAGUAACGACAAAACGGGUGAAAAACCCGUUCGCCGAAAGACCAAGGGUUCCAGUCCAACGUUAAUCGGGGCUGGGUGAGUCGACCCCUAAGGCGAGGCCGAAAGGCGUAGUCGAUGGGAAAAUGGUUAAUAUUCCAUUACUUCUGUGUAAUGCGAUGAGAGGACGGAGAAGGCUAAAUCAGCCUGGCGUUGGUUGUCCAGGUGAAAGGAUGUAGGCAUGUAUCUUAGGCAAAUCCGGGGUACUCUAUGCUGAGAUCUGAUAGCAAGCUGUACUUGUACAGCGAAGUGGUUGAUGCCAUGCUUCCAGGAAAAGUCUCUAAGCUUCAGUUACACAGGAAUCGUACCCGAAACCGACACAGGUGGUCAGGUCGAGUAGACCAAGGCGCUUGAGAGAACUCUGCUGAAGGAACUAGGCAAAAUGGUACCGUAACUUCGGGAGAAGGUACGCUGUUGUUGGUGAUGGAACUCGCUUCCUGAGCUGACGACAGCCGCAGAAACCAGGCCGCUGCAACUGUUUAUUAAAAACAUAGCACUCUGCAAACACGAAAGUGGACGUAUAGGGUGUGAUGCCUGCCCGGUGCUGGAAGGUUAAUUGAUGGGGUUAGCGUAAGCGAAGCUCUUGAUCGAAGCCCCAGUAAACGGCGGCCGUAACUAUAACGGUCCUAAGGUAGCGAAAUUCCUUGUCGGGUAAGUUCCGACCUGCACGAAUGGCAUAAUGAUGGCGGCGCUGUCUCCAGCAGAGGCUCAGUGAAAUCGAAAUCGCUGUGAAGAUGCAGUGUACCCGCGGCUAGACGGAAAGACCCCGUGAACCUUUACUGCAGCUUGACACUGAACUUUGACCUUACUUGUGUAGGAUAGGUGGGAGGCUUUGA